rnacentral:rRNA from 1 species
GACGAACGCUGGCGGCGUGCCUAAUACAUGCAAGUCGAACGCUGAAGGAGGAGCUUGCUUCUCUGGAUGAGUUGCGAACGGGUGAGUAACGCGUAGGUAACCUGCCUGGUAGUGGGGGAUAACUAUUGGAAACGAUAGCUAAUACCGCAUAAUAGCAGUUGUUGCAUGAUAACUGUUUGAAAGGUGCAAUUGCACCGCUACCAGAUGGACCUGCGUUGUAUUAGCUAGUUGGUGGGGUAACGGCUCACCAAGGCGACGAUACAUAGCCGACCUGAGAGGGUGAUCGGCCACACUGGGACUGAGACACGGCCCAGACUCCUACGGGAGGCAGCAGUAGGGAAUCUUCGGCAAUGGACGGAAGUCUGACCGAGCAACGCCGCGUGAGUGAAGAAGGUGUUCGGAUCGUAAAGCUCUGUUGUAAGAGAAGAACGAGUGUGAGAGUGGAAAGUUCACACUGUGACGGUAUCUUACCAGAAAGGGACGGCUAACUACGU